GUGGGAUUAGCUCAGUUGGCUAGAGUGCCAGAUUGUGGCUCUGGAAGUCGUGGGUUCGAUUCCCAUAUCCCACCCCA
rnacentral:tRNA from 1 species